ACUAGGGUUAAUCAAAUAGUUUUUUAAGAAGUACAUUCAUGUAUAUAUAAGGUUUUUCAAUAUUUCCUUAGGGAUUACACAGAUGGAUUGAACAAAAGCAACAUAUUGCUGCAAGAAAGUGACACCUUUCCUAGUUUGGGAUCAAGUUAAUCCCUAUUUAAAAUAAAUAAAUAAAAGAAACACAAUUUUUAUUUGAAGUACCAGAGCAAAUUUCCCACAGGUGGGAUCAAUAAAGUUUUUCUGAUUCUGAACUGUAUUCCAAAAUAAUUUUCUCAACCUUAAAGAUUGCAGGUUAACACAGGAAGUUACCUUUCACAAUAUGCAGCUACUGAGUAGCAAUUAAGGAUGCUGUGGACAUUGGACGACAGACUAACUUAAACCAGGCAGAGCAGGAAACUGUUGGAGUUGUUGUUCCCUCUGUGGCUUGUCCUCUCUCCUCUCAGACCUGUUCAACCCUUGUGGGACAUCGGAAAACCAUGGCCAAGA